AAGUAAGGAUUUAGUUAACAGAUGAUUAUUGAAGUUUUUAUGUAAAUUGUGCAUACUGCACUGUAAAAAUUUGAAAUCUACAAUCAUAGACUAUAGAACAAGCAGAUAUACACAAGACAAGUUAAGCCCACACUGUUUCAAGAGGCUUCUAUUUUUAAAAUGUAUUAAAUAUUUAUUUUCACAGAUUGAUGUGUUUAGGCAAAUCAUUUUAAAAUAUGUUGUCACAAUUACUUUGAAACAACAAUAAUUUUUAUCAUUAUUGUAAUUUUCAGUGUAUAUUCACAUGUGAUUCCAACAACUAUGACACUGAGUUGCUGAAGCAAAAUCAAACAUUUUAGAAAUAAAGAAAUUAAAGGACAGGAAAAUUAAUUGACUUGCAGCAAUUUUUUUAUACUGUCAUCUUGGCUAAGCUAGAAUACUUUACAAGAAUCCCCUAUCCUGUAUGAUAGUUUGUUAACUGGCCCAAAUAAGAAAUUCUUUUUACAAAUUUUGGAAGGGGAAAAUAAAGCAGCUCAUCUGAAAUCUGUUAAUUUAGAGGUACGAGUAACAAAGAGAUACUUGUGGAUUCUAGCUAGUUCUUGCUGUCUUUGGCUCCACACCCACAUCAUCUUCCCAAAUGAAAAUCUUGCUGACCAAGAGCCACUGAGACCCAACAGAUAUGUGGAGACAGCAGCUUUCCAUAAUCUUUUGCACCAGGUCUCCUUUGCAGACCCACUUGGGCAGCCCAAACUGCUUUACUUCAAAGGGUUGGUUAUUGUCUUUUCCAUGAGCCUCCAAUUCUCCCUUUUAGAAAUUUAUGACCCCAGCAAUACACACAAUUUGGGGAAGUGCUAUCACAUAUCUAACCCCUUUUCACAUAAUACUCAUAUUUGUUUUCAUUUUCAGAUUGAAUCUGACUGAGACAUAACUUCGAUGAGAUCACACUGCUAUUAAACGUCAGUAUUGAAAAUCAAAUAUUUCAUACUAUUUCUCAACCUUGAAAGAAAGAGUAUUUCCAGAAAAAAAAAAGAGGAGUUGUUAAGGAGACAAUGGAAAAGACUUCUAAAUAACUACAGCAUUUGGCCAGUUCACAAUGGAGGAAAUAAUGAACGGCUGUACUCUGAUAGACACUAAAAAAAUUCCUUUUAUGGGCCCCAAGAUCCCUGACAUCACAAGGAAAUGAUUCAUUUACAACUUGGGUAACAGGUGAGUUUUUUAAGCAGUGAUUUGGGGCUAUUGUUAAUAACAAGGUACAUGAAAGCUUCUUUAUAAAACUAAAAUUAUAUAAUAAUAAUAAAUAAUACCAUUUAGUAAAUGGUAAAUGUAUUAUGUAAAUUGUUUCAUGGAAUCCCACACUGGGGACCUGGGCCUAUUGUUUCCCUUUGAAUAACAGAUUCUUCCCUAAAUCAUUUGAAAUCUGUUCCCUGUAAAUUUUAAAUAGGAUAACAUUAUUUUGCUAUAAUAGAGUAGUUUAAAUUUAAGCACAACCAUUCUGUUUCAAUUAUAGAAGUGUCAUUGGGAUUUAAUUACACAAUUUGAAAGACUGAGCGCAAAAACUACCUGCGUGCU